rnacentral:rRNA from 1 species
UCAGUCGACUCCUACGGGGAGGCAGCAGUGGGGAAUAUUGCACAAUGGGGGAAACCCUGAUGCAGCCAUGCCGCGUGUGUGAAGAAGGCCUUCGGGUUGUAAAGCACUUUCAGUAGGGAGGAAGGUAGUGUAGUUAACACCUGCAUUAUUUGACGUUACCUACAGAAGAAGCACCGGCUAACUCCGUGCCAGCAGCCGCGGUAAUACGGAGGGUGCGAGCGUUAAUCGGAAUUACUGGGCGUAAAGCGCAUGCAGGCGGCCUGUUAAGUCAGAUGUGAAAGCCCGGGGCUUAACCUCGGAAUUGCAUUUGAAACUGGCAGGCUAGAGUCUUGUAGAGGGGGGUAGGAAUUUCAGGUGUAGCGGUGAAAUGCGUAGAGAUCUGAAGGAAUACCAGUGGCGAAGGCGGCCCCCUGGACAAAGACUGACGCUCAGAUGCGAAAGCGUGGGGAGCAAACAGGAUUAGAUACCCUGGGUAG